rnacentral:rRNA from 1 species
ACGGCUCAGUAACACGUGGAUAACCUGCCCUUGGGACCGGCAUAACCCCGGGAAACUGGGGAUAAUUCCGGAUAACGCAUAUGUGCUGGAAUGCUUUAUGCGUAAAAUGGAUUCGUCUGCCCAAGGAUGGGUCUGCGGCCUAUCAGGUAGUAGUGGGUGUAAUGUACCUACUAGCCGACAACGGGUACGGGUUGUGAGAGCAAGAGCCCGGAGAUGGAUUCUGAGACAUGAAUCCAGGCCCUACGGGGCGCAGCAGGCGCGAAAACUUUACAAUGCGGGAAACCGUGAUAAGGGGACACCGAGUGCCAGCAUCAUAUGCUGGCUGUCCGGGUGUGUAAAAUACACCUGUUAGCAAGGGCCGGGCAAGACCGGUGCCAGCCGCCGCGGUAACACCGGCGGCCCGAGUGGUGAUCGUGAUUAUUGGGUCUAAAGGGUCCGUAGCCGGUUUGGUCAGUCCUCCGGGAAAUCUGACAGCUUAACUGUUAGGCUUUCGGAGGAUACUGCCAGACUUGGAACCGGGAGAGGUAAGAGGUACUACAGGGGUAGGAGUGAAAUCUUGUAAUCCCUGUGGGACCACCUGUGGCGAAGGCGUCUUACCAGAACGGGUUCGACGGUGAGGGACGAAAGCUGGGGGCACGAACCGGAUUAGAUACCCGGGUAGUCCCAGCCGUAAACGAUGCUCGCUAGGUGUCAGGCAUGGCGCGACCGUGUCUGGUGCCGCAGGGAAGCCUUGAAGCGAGCCACCUGGGAAGUACGGCCGCAAGGCUGAAACUUAAAGGAAUUGGCGGGGGAGCAC